AUGAACGCUAGCGACAGGCCUAACACAUGCAAGUCGAGGGGCAGCGGGGAGGUAGCAAUACCUUUGCCGGCGACCGGCGCACGGGUGAGUAACACGUAUGCAAUCCACCUGUAACAGGGGGAUAACCCGGAGAAAUCCGGACUAAUACCCCAUAAUAUGGGCUCUCCGCAUGGAGGGUUCAUUAAAGAGAGCAAUUUUGGUUACAGACGAGCAUGCGCUCCAUUAGCCAGUUGGCGGGGUAACGGCCCACCAAAGCGACGAUGGAUAGGGGUUCUGAGAGGAAGGUCCCCCACAUUGGAACUGAGACACGGUCCAAACUCCUACGGGAGGCAGCAGUGAGGAAUAUUGGUCAAUGGUCGGCAGACUGAACCAGCCAAGUCGCGUGAGGGAAGACGGCCCUACGGGUUGUAAACCUCUUUUGUCGGAGAGUAAAGUACGCUACGUGUAGCGUAUUGCAAGUAUCCGAAGAAAAAGCAUCGGCUAACUCCGUGCCAGCAGCCGCGGUAAUACGGAGGAUGCAAGCGUUAUCCGGAUUUAUUGGGUUUAAAGGGUGCGUAGGCGGCACGCCAAGUCAGCGGUGAAAUUUCCGGGCUCAACCCGGAGUGUGCCGUUGAAACUGGCGAGCUAGAGUACACAAGAGGCAGGCGGAAUGCGUGGUGUAGCGGUGAAAUGCAUAGAUAUCACGCAGAACCCCGAUUGCGAAGGCAGCCUGCUAGGGUGAAACAGACGCUGAGGCACGAAAGCGUGGGUAUCGAACAGGAUUAGAUACCCUGGUAGUCCACGCAGUAAACGAUGAAUACUAACUGUUUGCGAUACAAUGUAAGCGGUACAGCGAAAGCGUUAAGUAUUCCACCUGGGGAGUACGCCGGCAACGGUGAAACUCAAAGGAAUUGACGGGGGCCCGCACAAGCGGUGGAGUAUGUGGUUUAAUUCGACGCAACGCGAAGAACCUUACCAAGGCUUGACAUUGAUUGAACGCUCUAGAGAUAGAGAUUUCCCUUCGGGGACAAGAAAACAGGUGGUGCAUGGCUGUCGUCAGCUCGUGUCGUGAGAUGUUGGGUUAAGUCCCGCAACGAGCGCAACCCCUAUCGACAGUUACUAACGGGUCAAGCCGAGGACUCUGUCGAGACUGCCGGCGCAAGCCGCGAGGAAGGUGGGGAUGACGUCAAAUCAGCACGGCCCUUACGUCCGGGGCGACACACGUGUUACAAUGGCAGGUACAGAAGGCAGCCAGUCAGCAAUGACGCGCGAAUCCCGAAAACCUGUCUCAGUUCGGAUUGGAGUCUGCAACCCGACUCCAUGAAGCUGGAUUCGCUAGUAAUCGCGCAUCAGCCAUGGCGCGGUGAAUACGUUCCCGGGCCUUGUACACACCGCCCGUCAAGCCAUGGAAGCCGGGAGUACCUGAAGCAUGCAACCGCAAGGAGCGUACGAAGGUAAUACCGGUAACUGGGGCU
rnacentral:rRNA from 1 species